GAUCCUGGCUCAGGAUGAACGCUAGCUACAGGCUUAACACAUGCAAGUCGAGGGGCAGCAUGGUCUUAGCUUGCUAAGGCCGAUGGCGACCGGCGCACGGGUGAGUAACGCGUAUCCAACCUGCCUUACACUCUUGGACAGCCUUCUGAAAGGGAGAUUAAUACAAGAUGUUAUCAUGAGUAAGCUAUUUUCGCAUGAUUAAAGGUUUACCGGUGUAAGAGUGGGGAUGCGUUCCUA
rnacentral:rRNA from 1 species